AACGAACGCUGGCGGCAUGCCUAACACAUGCAAGUCGAACGAGACCUUCGGGUCUAGUGGCGCACGGGUGCGUAACGCGUGGGAACCUGCCCUUAGGUUCGGAAUAACUCCCCGAAAGGGGUGCUAAUACCGGAUAAUGUCUUCGGACCAAAGAUUUAUCGCCUUUGGAUGGGCCCGCGUUGGAUUAGCUAGUUGGUAGGGUAAAAGCCUACCAAGGCGACGAUCCAUAGCUGGUCUGAGAGGAUGAUCAGCCCGACUGGGACUGAGACACGGCCCAGAAUCCUACGGAAGGAAGUAGUGGGGGAUAUAAGAAAAUGGGGGAAGGCAUGACGCAGCAAUGCCGAGAGAGUGAUGAAGGCGUUAGGGUUGUAAAGCUCUUUUACCCGGGAUGAUAAGGACAGUAACGGGAGAAUAAGCUCCGGCUAACUCCGUG
rnacentral:rRNA from 1 species